rnacentral:lncRNA from 1 species
GAAGGCAGCUGUUACCCAAGCCCUGCACCUCCAUCUUCCCAGAGUCUCGUGGGAAACAGAUUUCAAACAACAACAGACAGCAAGACUGAGAAACUACGAAAGAUCAGCCUGCCUCAUUUACUGUAAGAAUACAGCAUAUUCCCAGCUACUCAGGAAGCUGAGGCAGGAGAAUCACUUGAACCUGGGAGGCCGAGUUUGCAGUGAGCCAAAAUCGCACCAUUGCACUCCAGCCUGGGCAACAAGAGCGAAACUCCAACUCAAAAAAAAAAAAAAUAAAAAGAAUACAGCGUAUAAUGCAUGUAACAUAUAAAAUAUGUGUUAAUCAACUGUCUAUGUUAUGGGAAGCAGUGUUUGGAGCUGAGAUGACUUGGCAGGGAGAAGAAUCCACUGGGACAUUCAAUAACUUGGCAUUGAGAGUGUUUUCAGCACCAUGCUGUCCUCAGAAUAGUGUUAGAAUUUAUAUAAACACAGAUGUGACUUGUGCCUUGAAGGAGAAUACAGUCUUCCCAGGAGAGACAUGCAAAACCAUCAUAGACAAACAGCAAGAAAACAGCAUCAAGGAUGUACAUGCACCGGGCAGAAUGUAAACUGGAUGUAAAACCAAGCAUUUGAGGGCAAUGAGAAAGGAACUUGGUUCUGGUCUCAACUCUGCCACCCACAGCUGCGUGACUAUGUCUCUGUCACACUGCUUCUCAGGUCUUCAACUUUAUCGUCUCAUACUGAGCAAGAGACAGUCUGGACAAUUUAUGCUUCUAGAAUGGGGAGACAAGAAGAAAAGAAAGAUAGAUACCCAAGGACUUCAGUGACUGGCUCAGGAAGAAUUACUCAGCAGUGAGGGGGCCAGCAUGAGCCCAGGGGCAAGAAGCCGGGACUUGGAACAGGAAGGAAAGGUGCUCAGCUGGCUAACCUAGAGGAAAGUGAUUGGCUGGAGUGUCUGGUUUAUCUGUUUCAGGGAUGGUUAAAGAUUGCCCCGUUAAUAGGCAAAAAUUGUUGCCUUAAAGAACCUAGAAUCUAAAGGGGUCUUUGACAUAAUACAGAAUAACAGGUCCCAGAGAUUAUUUUACAGAAUGUUAGUACCUCAUGAUAUUAAUAGAUAUAUAACAAAACAGACUUCUUUGCCACAAGACUUCUCAGUACCUUUAACAUUUUAUGAUUUUCCCAAAGGACAAAGAGUAUGCAGCAUUUCCCAGACUUAAAUUUAACUGUGAACACCUG